ACGGAAGGCAGCAGUGGGGAAUAUUGCACAAUGGGCGCAAGCCUGAUGCAGCGAUGCCGCGUGGGGGAAGAAGGUUUUCGGAUUGUAAACCUCUGUCAUCGGGGACGAUAAUGACUGUACCCGAGAAGGAAGCUCCGGCUAACUACGUGCCAGCAGCCGCGGUAAUACGUAGGGAGCGAGCGUUAUCCGGAAUUACUGGGUGUAAAGGGAGUGUAGGCGGGACUGUAAGUCAGAUGUGAAAUAUACCGGCUCCACUGGUAGACUGCAUUUGCAACUGCGGUUCUUGAGUGAAGUAGAGGUAAGCGGAAUUCCUAGUGUAGCGGUGAAAUGCGUAGAUAUUAGGAGGAACAUCAGUGGCGAAGGCGGCUUACUGGGCUUUAACUGACGCUGAGGCUCGAAAGCGUGGGGAGCAAACAGGAUUAGAUACCCUGGUA
rnacentral:rRNA from 1 species